rnacentral:rRNA from 1 species
UGAGGAAUAUUGGACAAUGGGUGGAAGCCUGAUCCAGCCAUCCCGCGUGAAGGAUGACGGUCCUAUGGAUUGUAAACUUCUUUUGUACAGGGAUAAACCUGCCCUCGUGAGGGCAGCUGAAGGUACUGUACGAAUAAGCACCGGCUAACUCCGUGCCAGCAGCCGCGGUAAUACGGAGGGUGCGAGCGUUAUCCGGAUUUAUUGGGUUUAAAGGGUCCGUAGGCGGACUUAUAAGUCAGUGGUGAAAGCCUGUCGCUUAACGAUAGAACUGCCAUUGAUACUGUAAGUCUUGAGUAUAUUUGAGGUAGCUAGAAUAAGUAGUGUAGCGGUGAAAUGCAUAGAUAUUACUUAGAACACCAAUUGCGAAGGCAGGUUACCAAGAUAUAACUGACGCUGAGGGACGAAAGCGUGGGGAGCGAACA